CACAUGCCUGCAAUCCCAGCUACUCGGGAGGCCCAGGUGGAAGCAUCACUUGAACCCGGGAGGUGGAGGCUGCGGUGAGCCUAGAUCUCGUCAUUACACUCCAGCCUGGGCAACACGAGCGAAACUCCAGCUCAACAAAAAAGGGAGGAGGUGGGCGCUGCCUGAGGAGAGGCAGGGAGGAGGUUUUGUCCGGCUUGGGGGUGCAAGGAAAUGGAACGGACUGCACCAGAGGCGGUUCUUCUUGGUGUUAGGUGGCUGCCCCUAAGAUGGGUUUGGGGUUAUCCGCCGGCCACAGGCAUGCCCAGCAACGGCAGCCAUCUGGUGCUGAUAGCAGUGCUGCGUGUGUUAAUGACCAGGGAGGGAGGGGGAGUGAGUGACGGGGUGUCAGGGGAGCCCGCCCCUCACACAAUGGCACACAUGGCCACCAGAGCUGGCAGGGAGGGGCCUGAUUAGGGUUUGGCUCUGCUCAAUGAGGGGCUGGGGGCUGCAAGGAGAGCCCUGCCACCCAGAUGUGGGUAAAAGGCAGGGAAGUGGAUAGAGGGGUGGGUGGUCACCAGGAUGAGGGCUCCUGGUUCUAGCCCUGGCUCUGCCAGUUACUUACAAGCUGACCUUGGGAAAGUCCACUCAUUAGCGAAUUCAUCCAUUGAUGGAACACAUCCAUCAGCCAUGAACAGUGUGUCAGGCUUCGAGGAGACCGGAGACUUAUACCUAAGUAGCAGCAGUGGUUGUAGUAGCAAAAAUAAAAGAGCUCAAUACAUGACUGUGUUCUGGGUCCCCUGCUCUGCCUUUGGGAGCGUCGCCUCAUCGAAUCUUUACAGCAGCCCCUGUGGGGUGGCUACUCUUCUUAUCCCUAUUUUACAGAUGAAGAAACUGAGGCCUAGAGAGGUGAAGCCUCAAAGAUCAGAGCCAGCAAGAAAGGGGGCUGGGAUUUGAACCCAGGUCCACGCUGACUCGAAGAUCAGAGCCAGCAAGAGAGGGGGCUGGGAUUUGAACCCAGGUCCACACUGACUCGAAGAUUUUUUCUGUCCUACAUGAAUGGUUCCCAAAUCUGGCUGCUUAUCAGAACUACCUGGAGGGCUUUUUGGACAAUACAGAGGCCUGAUUUUUUUUUCUUUUUCUUCUUGUUUCCUGACUCAGAGUCUCUGGGUCCUGGGUGGGGCCAGUGUUGACAGCCUCUCGUCCUCCUUUGCCUCAUCUUCUGCAAAGCUCCCGCCUCUCCUGCUUGGCUCGCUCUGCCCCGGGUGCACAGGCCUUGCUGUUCUCAGGGAAAGCCUGCUGGCUCCCCCACAUUUGCCUUUACGCUUGCCCUCCCAGAACACUCCGCCCAGCCCUUCUUGUCGCUUGCUCUUGCCCAUCUUCCUUCCAGUGCCUUGUUUGAAUGUCACCUCCUCAUAGAGACCUUCCUGACCAUCCAUAACCCUUCUCCUCAGCCUAUUACUCUUGGUCCCGUGGGUUCUCUACCAGGGCCAGUCAGCCGGGACACUUAAACUCUCUGAUGCCCAGAGACUGACUCUGUCGACCCAGGUGAGCCCCAGGCUUCAAUGCUGCCUGGCCUGGGACAUGGAUGGUCACUGAGUCUCACUGCUCACCGCUCUCCCCUUGACAUUAUACAUGUGCUUGGUUAUUGUCCGUGUCUCUGCUAGAGUGGAGAGCAGGGGCCUGGUCUGUCUUGGGCUCUGCCGUAUCCCCAGCACCUUCAAAAGCACCUGGCACACAGUAGGAGCUCAGUUCAGGGAGUACCUAUGAAUGAAGGAAUGGGAUGGUGGGGCUUGAGAAAAGACAGCUUUGAUUGACUGUCAGGAUCAAUCUGUUCCCAACACCUGGUGAACCCUUGGAGGGUUCUUCCCACAGGGAAAGUUUACCUCAUCUGUCCGUAUCAUGCCUCCAUGCUGUCCGGAACGUUCCACUCUGACUGCAGGACCACCUCGGGGUGAGGACAGCGGCUUGAGAUGGCAGGAAUCACCAUGGUCUCCCUGAGAUUCAGACUGCCUUUGGCAGAGUCAGAGCUGGAAGGGCAGGAGUGGGGUUGAGUCGGAGCUCUCCCGGGCAGAUGGGCCCUGAGGCCUAGUGAGGGAAGGAGGCUCAGCCACAGUCAGGCCCUGGUUGAAGAGGGCCUGGAGGGCAGGCGCUACAGCAUCCUGUGUGACCUCGGCCAAGCCUCUGACUUUCUCUGUGCUUUAGUGUCCCCAUCUGUACCUGCGGGGCCUGGGCUGAGACGAUCCCAAGCCCAGGACAUCAGGAGUUUGUUCCCUGAGUCCUUUUCUGGGCAGCGCAGACCUUCGGAGGGCUUGUAAGGGGUUAAGCUCCUCUGGCUCUGCUCUGCACGCAGACAAACCCCCUCCUUCUGACAAACACUUGUAGGAAAUCAGGCUGGGCGCUUCCUGCUGAGGCGAGGCGAGGCAGCCUCAGCUGACAGGGGCGGGGAGAGGUGGGGAGGAUGCUGGUGUGUGAGCAGCAGCCUGGGCUGGCAGAACGGCCUGGAGGCGGGCCAGGGCGCAAUGGAGGCAGGGGGCUCCCUGGGUUUGGAACAAAGACUUCAAAGGCAGGUCCCCUGAAACUGGCCCGGGAGGACCGUGGUGGAGCCCAAGAGAGGGCACAGGCAGGAUGGCCAAUGCUGAUAGGAGCCAGCGGUGACUCUGGGGCCCCCCGGCGGCAACUCUUUCUCCUGAAGAUGAAGUGGCCCAGGUGAAGCCCAGGCCAGUCCCGAUGGCCAGCUCGGGGACUGAGAUCCACUGGGCUGAGCCUGGCCUGGGGAAGGGCCCCCAGCGGCGGCGCUGGGCCUGGGCCGAGGACAAGAGGGACGUGGCUAGAAGUGGCUCACAAAGCUGGGGAGAAGAGGGACUCUUUCCCAAUGCCACCAGCCCCGAGCUCCUGGAGGACUUCCGCCUGGCCCAGCAGCACUGGCCACCCCUGGAGUGGAACCCACACCCGCAGCCUGAUGGGCAUCAGGAUUCCGAGUCAGGAGAGACUUCGGGAGCAGGUGAGAUGGACCCCCCCGCCUCCAACAGUGGUGUCCUGUCCCCGUGACAUCGCACGUUCUAGCGGGGGAACGGAGUGGAGGCUGCUUCAACAUUUUAUUAAAUUCUACAAAGUCUAUCAUUUAAAAUUUGUUAAGAUUUAAAUUUUAUAAAUAAUACCACUGAUUGCAGGAUAAUCAGAAAAUAUAAGCCAAAAAUUACGUAAAAUUUAAAAUUAAAAUUAGGUAAAAUUUAAAAUUUAAAAUUAUCCAUCCCCAGAUCACCGCUGUUUUCCAUAUGUAUAGAUAUGCAAAUGUAACAUAAAUAUGGAACAGUGUUCUACAUACUUCAUUGUAACCUGCUUUUUUGUUAACUUAACAGAUGUGAACAUUUUUCUAGCUCAUCAGAUCCUCUCCCGCAAGUGAUUCCUGGACUUCCAUGGUGUGGAUAUUCCGUGGUUAAUUGGCCUGGACUUCCCUGGUGUGGAUAUUCCAUGGUUAAUUGGCCCGUCUCCUAUCGCUGGACAUUGUAGCAGUUUCUAGUUUUUGCUAUUAUAAAUAAUGCAGAGAUGAACGUCACUAAUAUAUCUUUGCACACUUGAUUAUCAUAUCUUUGGUAAUUUGAAUUACUUAGUCCCAGGGUUAUGUCCAGUUUGGAUUUGUUUUUUUUUUUAGGCAGAGUCUUGCUCUGUUGCCCAGGCUGGAGUGCAGCGGCAGGAUCAGGGCUCACUGCAGCCUUGACCUUUUGGGCUCUGUCAAUCCUCAGAACUCCGCCUCCCGAGUUGCCACCACACCUGGCUAAUUUUUGUAUUUUUUGUAGAGCCAGGGUCUCACAGUGUUACCCAGGCUGGUCUCAAACUCUUGGCCUGAAGCGAGCUUCUCGCUUUGGCCUCCCAAAAUGUUGGGAUUGCAAAUGUGAGCCGUCAUGUCUGGCCACUUUUAAGAUUUAAAAAAAUCCCAAUCAGCAGUGAGAACGUUGAGAUUUCUUGUUUUCUACAAUAACUGUGUUCUGGCUGCAUCCAGACCGACUUAAACUGAAUCCCUAGUGUUGCUUAGCAAGUCCCUUCUGUCUGAAUCUUGCUUUUUCCUUCUAUAAAAUGAGAGGAAUAAUGUCGCGGAGAAUAGUAAGAGCUUGACACAAGGUGGCUAUUGCACUUAGAUUAUGAGUGAGAUGCCGCUGUUUUAGGGUCCUGUGACUCCUGCAGGCUGGUGUGGAUUGCAUCAUUACUCAAAGUUUUACACACCUGAUCUGCUCAAAGUGGGCAUUGCCCACUGCUGCCCACUCAGGAGCCAUUUCUGAGCUCUCUCUCCAGCAGGACAUGGUGAGAGAAAUGCACUGGGCCAACAGGGCAGAGGCAUCUCUUCCUGGGGUCACAUGGUAACCCCUGCUAUGAUGUAACAGCUGCUACCCUAUCCUGUGCCUUUACUAUGUGCCAGGCACAGGGCUGGGCAGGGUCAAGCCCCCUGUUGUUCCCUCCUUACCACCCUCUGUCAGGUAGGAGGAACCAGCCUCAAGUUUGACUAUGGAUUGCCAGAGGGUUCAACAAUUUGUCUAUGGCCCCAGUGAGGGGUCCUAGGAGCCAGGACUGAACCCAGGGCUCCCUGGCUCCAAAGCCCAGGCCCUUCACCUCUAGUGUAUGACCCCUAGUGGUGGAAGCAAACUCACCUGCAUGGCUGCGGCCUGGGUCCUAGGUCCAGGGAACCACUGGGUGAUCACUGGCAACUGACCUAAUGUUCAGGUGUGCUGCUGUAAGCAAGAGUAACUUGCUGGAGGAGCUGUUAAGUGGUUAAGGGACACAGAGGCAUCAAGGUAAGGGAAGAGCAUGGAGGAGCAGAGAGUGAGACAGUGGUGCACCUGCCUGAACAGAGAGUCUGUGCCUGGUGGUACCCAAGCUGUGUCUCAUGAAUCUUUGGACGAUCCCAGAGGUUAACCCUGGGGUCUAGAGCAGAGCGGGUGCUCCAGAAACAAUGACUGCAUGGAUGGUGGUUAGAUGCAUGGAUGAAUGGACAGGUGGGUGGUGGGUGAUGGAUGAUGGAUGGGUGAAUGGGUGGGUAGAUGAUGGAUGGAUGUUGGA